rnacentral:rRNA from 1 species
UAACUGUGCAAAGGUAGCAUAAUCAAUAGUUUUUUAAUUGAAGGCUUGUAUGAAAGGUUGGACAAAGAAUAAUCUGUUUUUAUUUUUUCUUUUGAACUUGACUUUUGAGUGAAAAGGCUCAAAUAAAUUUGAGGGACGAUAAGACCCUAUAAAUCUUUAUAUUAAGUUAUUUUUUUAAUGGUUUAAUUUAGUAAAUAAAGUAAUAAGAUAAAAAAUAUUUUGUUGGGGCGACGAAAAUAUAAAUUUUAACUGUUUUAAAGUUUAAACAAAAUUGUUUGGGUGUGUAAUAGAUCCUUUAUGUAGAUUAAAAAAUUAAGUUACUUUAGGGAUAACAGCGUUAUUUUUUUUGAGAGUUCAUAUCGAAAAAAAAGUUUGCGACCUCGAUGUUGAAUUAAAAUUUCUCUAUAGUGCAGAAGCUAUGGUAGGGAGUCUGUUCGACUUUUAAAUUUUUACG